rnacentral:lncRNA from 1 species
GCUGGAUGACUCUCCCGUUUCCUAUAAAUUGAUGGGUUGCCCUUCCUCUUCCUAAACCCUACACCCGCCGACCGGGUUCCGCUCCGCGGCGUCGAAGAUGGAAGGUUAGUAUUUUCUUCGAGCAUCGUCGGUUUCCGUCUAUGGAUUGCUGUCCGGAUCACCGUGCUGCAUAUGCGAAUGCGUCCCUGUUUUUCGAUCUUUUCCACGGCUCUAGUCGUUCAUGCACCAGCGACCUGUGACGGGGGAUGAUUUUCUGGGUGAAGUCUCCCUUGCUGUUUCGGAGCAGACCUCUCAUGUUUGCAGAUUCCGCGGCAAACGUCAAAUAGUAACCUAAUGGAAGUUGAUGGCUCGUCCGCAAGAGUGCACAUGCAUUUUUGCAGGGCGAACCUCCUUCUUGUACUGCCUCAUAUUCCAUCGCCUUCGGGAGCAGCGUCGCUGCCAUUACCUGUUGGGACUGGCCAUGAGGCGGAUAUUAUCUUAGUUAUCGCCGGCUCAGAAUCAUAGCUUAAAUGCGUUUGCUCCAGAUCCGAUCGAUUGUAUAUGAUUCGUGCUGAAAACAAAUAAUGCGAAAGAUAUCAUCAAUGUCCUUCGCUAUGUAUGGAAUCAUUUCCCACGGUUUCUCGUCAAUCUUCAGCGUCAAUUAACGGCGAAGCAGAAGUUUCCUUGAUUGGAUCUUUCUUGAGUUGAUCCAAGCAAUUUAUUCAAUCCCUGCAAUAUCGAUGCGUGUCGGUUUCACUCACCUGGUUCUGACUAAUAAUGAUUUACCAGGCCCUUUGCAUCUGGCACAUUUUUUAUUUCUGUUCUUGUCAUGUCCCGAUUUCACAAGGACAUGAUCCAUUUCAGUUGCCUGAGCAAACGCACUCUGUCGCAAAACUAUCCAUGAUGUGAGUCAUGUCGAGGAGGUCAUAUGUUUUGUGCCAAUUUCUACGUUUGCGAAAUAAAGGGUUUCCGUUCCCAAUCAGCUCUACUGCAAGUCACUACUCAUGCUGUUGCGGACGCAUGGUUGGCAUACAUCUUGAAUCUUCUCUGGUGUUCCGCGACUUGUGCAAGAACGAUUUUCUUAUUUUUCAUUUAAAAUGAUUAAAUCGUUGCUUCCAUUUCGAAUUUUUUUUCUGGAAUGAACCCUUUUUCUACGGGCUCGUUCUUUAAAUCGAAGCAUAGAGAGAUCGUACACGGCCAGUUUUAAACAGCAUGAUGUGUAUGGUCGUCUGCAUCGUGUUACCUGUCUUCUGGUAAAUUUAUGUCUGGCGCUGAACAUUUUCCAUCACCGCGUUGCAGAUGCCAUGAGAAGAAUGCGUGACGUCUGUGGAUAGUCAGUCAUCCUUGAUGGGCUUCUCCUGUUGGAUGCCCCUCGCCCUAUGAUGGGUUAUUUUUGUGUGAAUAUGCUCGUAAAUAAUAUUGAAUGGUUUGUACAGCUCCUCACGCUCUAAGUGCGAUUGCAUGAAAGAAAUUUUAUGAUGCAUCUGUGAGAUUUGGGUAUGCGUGGUGAAGGCGAAGUCUCGGGCAGCUCCCAGGAAAUUCAUUGGGUUAUCUUGAGUUAGAUUAAUCGAUGUGGAAGUAUAUAAGUGACUAUAUAAGGUUAAAAAGCUGACCUUUUUUUACAAGGAAACCCUUCGAUUUUUGGAUUUUUUCAUUAGCUUGGUUCUAGUCAAGAGAAGUCACUUUGAAUGCAACAUAAUGCCACAAACUGCCCACCCUUGUCAAAUAUCAGUUUUAUAGAUAAAGAUUCUACCUCCUGUAUGACUUCUUGGCCGCCAUGUUGGUGAAUGUAAUAGUCUGCUAAAAUUUCAUGGCAUAGAGGACAGACAAACCAGCCAACCCUUGAGAUGUAACAAUUUAAACCACCCACUCAGAGGUAGGUUUUUGCCCACAGCUGUGGCACAAAUCAUCUCACAACAUAAGAAAAAUUUACCCAAAAAUGUGGGUAGAAUUAACACGUUCAGUUAGAGCUCCACCAUAAUUUCAAGGGAAGGACAGAUCUCUUACUAUCUCCCCCCCAUGUAGGAGCCCAUCUCAUCCCCCACUCUAGAGGAGCCCUAACCAAGUGUAUUACACUUACAAACCUAAUGAGAUAAGAUGAACAAGUAGAGGAAAUUUUAAUUGUAGAAAGAAUAAAAGUUGUAAAGUUGAUAAGUUGCUCAAAAUCAAAUGCACAAACUCUAAACAUUUUUCCCUCUAAAUAUUGGAACGUAAAAGGUAUGCUCCAAUGUUCUUGUAGGCCAUACCUACAAAAAUCACAUUUCACAAACAUAACAUGGCAUGUUGUUAGACAAUAUUUUGAAAUAGAG